GUUGUAUUAGCUGGACUUCUGAAUGCAUUGUAUCUUCAGUCAUUGCUUCUAUCUUUAAUCAACUUCUCCAACAAACCCCCCCUUAAUUGAAGAUUACAGUGUCCCAGCAGCUUUAUUGUGGGAGUUCGACUUUUUCUAUACCUCUCUUAUGUUUUGUUUCUUGAGUGUAACUUGUUUGUUUAAGUCUUUUGAGUAUCCUCUUGUGUUAGGACCUUAGUUAAGGUCUUUUGGGAGGUUAAGGUGGAGGAGAACACUUAAAAAGAGCUCACCUGAAAGCCUCACGGCCUCCAUGCGGGUGCAUGGAGCCCGUGAGGGUUUCAGAAAAUGGUCUCACGGCCUCCCUUGCACCCGCAAGGCAGCCCGUGAGCCAUGGCAUAUAUAUAUGGUUUCUUGGAGAUUCUAGAGCCUUCUUGAGCUCUUUUUUCUCUUCUUCUUCAUCCUCCUCCCAUUUCCUUCAUUCCUUAUCUUCAAAACACUCAUUUUGAUCCCCAAAAACAAAGGAAGAAGUGGAGAUUUCAUCUCCUUCCAUCAAGAAGAGUUCGAUUAGGGUUUAGAGAGUAAUCGGAGUUGAGGCAUCAAGCAAAGGAAAAGAGUUGCUAGACAAGUGAACCCAGAGGGGAUUAGCUCGCCAAGUUUGUGUUAGCAAAGCAGCGGGAUAGAAGCGUGAAGUGCUGGGCAUACUAGUUUGUAUUAUAUAAGCUGUGUAUGACAUUUAAGUAUUUUAUCAUGUAUUAGCAGGAUCCACUAGGAUGUUACAACUUGAUAUUUUGUUAUAUUUUCUUGGACAUUCUUAUAUGUGUGAAUUUGGAUUAUAUAAUGUAUGACAGUCAUACUCAGUGUCCAAGGGAUGGUGUCCUUAUCUGAUGACUUUCAAAGUUAUGAUUUUUCCAUGUAUCGUAUCAUGUAUUAUAGUGA